AAACUCUAACCUAAUAACUAAACCCCCAUCACUGCUAAAUCAAUCCCACCAACGCAGAUUCUCUUCCCCUCUUCAACUCUCUCUUUUCUCUUGUACUUUCUUUCUUUCACUCAUUAUUUCUCCAAUCCGGCUACCAUGGUCGAGGAACUUGAAAGCCCUCCUCGUCGGCCAAGGAAUGACGAUGGUGAUGAUAACUGGCUCGGCAGUGCUGAAGCAUUCGGAUGGAGCGUGCACGGUUGCGGCUGGAUGGUCACGGGCGGCAGCAGCUUUUUUCAACUGUUGGAGGCGGCAGCUUGAUGUUUUAGGGUUUCAAAACCCUAAUUGAAGAUGGGUCUACACUGGGCCAAUUGCUAGGCCUGGUUCAGGUCUUGGUCACUUGUAAUAUAAUAGGGCUGCUUGUAUUGGGCCUGCAGUGUAAAUAAAAUGAUAUUAUUAAUAAUACUAA